rnacentral:rRNA from 1 species
UACGAAGGGGGCUAGCGUUGCUCGGAAUCACUGGGCGUAAAGCGCACGUAGGCGGCUUCUUAAGUCAGGGGUGAAAUCCUGGAGCUCAACUCCAGAACUGCCUUCGAUACUGGCGAUCUUGGAGUCCGGGAGAGGUGAGUGGAAUUCCGAGUGUAGAGGUGAAAUUCGGUAGAUAUUCGGAAGAACACCAGUGGCGAAGGCGGCUCACUGGACCGGCAUUGACGCUGAGGUGGCG